UACAGAGGGUGCAAGCGUUGUUCGGAAUUAUUGGGCGUAAAGGGCGCGUAGGCGGUGCGGUAAGUCUGUAGUGAAAUCUCUGGGCUCAACUCAGAGUCUGCUAUAGAAACUGCCGUGCUUGAGUGUGGGAGAGGUGAGUGGAAUUCCCCGGUGUAGCGGUGAAAUGCGUAGAUAUCGGGAGGAACACCUGUGGCGAAAAGCGGCUCACUGGACCACAACUGACGCUGAGGCGCGAAAGCUAGG
rnacentral:rRNA from 1 species